CUUUAUGUGCUGCAAGGAGCUCUGAGGAGGGAAGGUCCUUCUGAAAUUCCCUGGUUUUGAGUGCAACAUCACUGAUUUUUAGUCUUUUUUGGUGUUUAAACACAAUUCUGGCUGCUUGCAGGACCCAAAGCUUUGUGUGUUAUUUAUCUAACCCUGAGCCAUGUUCCCAGCACACUUUUCUUUUCCCAGGAAAUGUCUCCUGGUACAAGGUGAGUGGAGUUUCAUACCCACAGCAGAUCCUCAGCUCAGCACCUCACUGUGGCACCUGCAGAGAGCUGGAAAAUGCAGGUAAACAAUUGCUUUAGUCACUCUGUUUUUAUAAAAUCCCCUCCUGGAGCUUUAGGAUGAGGCAAGUCCAGUGUGGAGCCAAAUCUCACCAUGAAGGAGGUGCAGGAAACUGAGAGGAUGAGCUCAGACUUUCUGAUAAUUUCUUUCUUCUCUGCAUUCUCCUUCUCCCCUUCUGCCCUUUUUGUGUACUGCCUCAAACAUUGUCCUCAAAGUGACAGUGGGACAUGGGCAGAGUAGUGAAAGCUGGCCUUCUGAAAUGCAGGAUCACCAAAGGAGUGGUUGCAAUGAAAUUAGGUUUAGAAGACAUUUAGAAUCUUAGAUAUUUAAGAUUCUAACUGCUGUAAAGCCACCCAAGAGGUGUUACUGCUGUGCUUUACAACACCCCUCAUCUGGCUAAAUUUGGGGAUUUUUACAGUGACCCAGGUUUACUCCUGUGCAUCCUCAGUCCUGCAGGUGAGAGAAGCAGCUGCAAUAGUCAGCAGGACUUUUAAAAGAGCACAGAAUUCUGUGUUUCUGGGGGUUCUGAAGCAGAGAUUCCCUCCUGAUUUGCAAGAACUCCCCCAGAGCACUGCUAGCAGCUCCUACCACCCUACUUCUGCUCCCUAGACAGCUCACAAAUGAUGCCACACAGCUAAAACAAAUAUCUAGUCUGCUGUGAACACCUGAGCUCACCAGGGAGAAGCUCCAUUUGGCACAAAAUAAUUGUACAAAAGUCUUUGUGGUCCUGAAGGAAAACUUUUAUUUCCACAAUUUUUCCCCACUCUCAUCCCAAAAUGCUGUUACCCAACCCUGGAGUGUGGGCUGAGCAGAGCUCAGGGAUGUCUGGCAACCCCCAGGGAAGUAGCCAAAGAUAAAAGUGUCCAAAAAGAGAAGAAAACAAGUGAGUAAUUCAUUUUUCCACUCAAUAUCUGGGUCACGGGAUUAUUUUACUUCUGGGCUCCAAAUUACUGCAACUUUCCUGAAAGAUUUCAGUCCUGGGAAGGCCAAAAGAGCAAUUUCAGAGCAGCUCCACUGCAGGUCCCUGAGGAAUCAGUUUCCAAUCAGUUUCCAAUCAGUUUCCAAUCAGUUUCCAAUCAGUUUCCAAUCAGUUUGCACUUCCCUCUCUCCCCACCUCCUGAGGAGGUUUCCAUCUCUCCCCCUCUGUUUUCCCAGCAGGAUUUUCCCCUGGGAUCAGUUUUUGCCUGGAUCACUGGGCAGGGAGAAGCUGGGACAGGAGUCAGAGCUGUCCCUGCCGUGGAUUCUGCCCUUCCCACCCAACGUGGGGCCCUGACUGCUGGGCAUUAAAGGAACAUUUCCAGUUGAUUUCUGAGAUCAGGGAGCAGAGCUGUGGUGUUGCUGCUGUGUCCAGCUGAGGCUCUGAAAUGUCCACCUGGGUAUUUGAAACUGGAUUUUCUAGCCCAAUAGAAGCAAAUGUUGCACCAGGUCACCUGGCUUUUCCCUUUCCCCUUCACCUCCCUACUCCUGAAUUAGGAUUUCCAGGGCAGCUUGGGAUGGGAAGCUUCUGGGAGAAGUUCUGGGAUCUUCAGCUGGCACAAACCAAUGCUUCAUUAUCAAAAGUCUGUUUUAAAGUGCAGGACACCAACUCCAGGAUCUGCUGUUUCCUAGAAUAUCCUCACUCAAGAAGAAAUAAGGGACAACAAAAACCAUCUGCGUCCAACAGCAAGUUUUAGGAGCUGCACAGGACAAGUGGUGGAAGAUCUCCAGAUCCUGGAAAGGAUCCAGUGGAAUCCAGGGCUGCCUUUGGCACCUCACACAGGGAACCCAGAACAAGCAGCCCUUGCUCUCGGGAGCUGCCCAGCAGAAUCCAGGAUGCAGAAUUUGUUGUUCUGGGAACCCAGAACAAGCAGCCCUUGCUCUCGGGAGCUGCCCAGCAGCAGGAGCACAGGGCUGGAUUUAAAUCCCAUCCCUCGGCUCUCCAGGAAGGGGAUGCAUUCCUCCCAGGAUCUACAGCCCGGGACAAACAUUCCCCAGAAGUUUUUGCCUGAUCCAGUGCUUUCACAAAGUGAAUAAGCUGUAAAAACCCCAAACCUGGAGAAGGGCUGUACCCCAGUACCACCUGGAGCAUCCCCAGCAAGCUCCCCAUGAUGGGAAGGCUCUGUCCCCAUAGCUGCUCCUCUCUGGGACUCCUGUCCUGUUCUGCCACCUCAAUUCCAGCGCCCCUUUGCGCCCCGCCGGCUCCCCGCUUACCUUCAGCGUAGCCUUGCGGACCUGCCCGAGCGCCCUGAGCCCGCCGAGGGAUCCCGCCUGGAAGUUGCGGUAC